AUUGAACGCUGGCGGCAUGCUUUACACAUGCAAGUCGAACGGCAGCGCGGGCUUCGGCCUGGCGGCGAGUGGCGAACGGGUGAGUAAUGCAUCGGAACGUGCCCAGUAGUGGGGGAUAGCCCGGCGAAAGCCGGGUUAAUACCGCAUACGACCUGCGGGUGACAGCGGGGGACCGAAAGACCUCGCGCUAUUGGAGGGGCCGGUGUCGUAUUAGCGAGUUGGUGGGGUAAAGGCUUACCAAGGCGCCGAUCCGUAGCUGGUCUGAGAGGACGACCGGCCACCGUGGGACUGCGACACGGCCACGCCCCCUACGGGAGGAAGCGGUGGGGAAUAUUGAGCACUGGUCGGCAGGCUGACGCAGCGACGCGGCGUGAGGGACGAAGGGCUGCGGGUUGUAAAAGUCUUUGAGCAGGGACGAAGCGAAAGUGACGGUACCUGAAGAAGAAGCACCGGCCAACUACGUG
rnacentral:rRNA from 1 species